rnacentral:tRNA from 1 species
AGGGCGAUAGUAUAGAUGAAUACCGCUGUUUUGCAGACAGUAAAUGCCUUUUGAAGGCUCGCCUCA